GACGAACCGUGCAAACGUUGUUCGGAAUCACUGGGCUUAAAGGGCGCGUAGGCGGGCAGCCAAGUCAGGGGUGAAAUCUUUCGGCUUAACCGGAAAACUGCUUUUGAUACUGGUUGUCUAGAGUGAGGUAGGGGCAUGUGGAACUUCCGGUGGAGCGGUGAAAUGCGUUGAUAUCGGAAGGAACGCCGGUGGCGAAAGCGACGUGCUGGACCUUUUCUGACGCUGAGGCGCGAAAGCUAGGGUAGCGAACGGG
rnacentral:rRNA from 1 species